rnacentral:rRNA from 1 species
AGUGAACGCUGGCGGCGUGCCUAAUACAUGCAAGUCGAACGGAGUGGCGCCCGGGUGAGUAAUGUAUAGCUAAUCUGCCCUCCACUAGAGGACAACAGUUGGCAACUACUGCUAAUACUCUAUAGUGUAGGAUGAGGCUAUAUUGUAUCAGCUAGUUGGUGAGGUAAUGGCUCACCAAGGCUAUGACGCAUAACUGGUGUGAGAGGAUGAGCAGUCACACUGGAAGGGAGACACGGUCCAGACGCCUACGAGAGGGAGCAGUAGGGAAUAUUGCUCAAUGGGGGAAACCCUGAAGGAGCAACGCCGCGUGGAGGAUGACACGUGUCGGAGAGUAAACGCCUUUUGUUAGGGAAGCGGUACCUAACGAAUAAGCACCGGCUAACUCCGUGCCAGCAGCCGCGGUAAUUC